rnacentral:rRNA from 1 species
AACGCGAAGAACCUUACCUACCCUUGACAUGUACGGAAGUCCGCUGAGAGGUGGAUGUGCCCGAAAGGGAGCCGUAACACAGGUGCUGCAUGGCUGUCGUCAGCUCGUGUCGUGAGAUGUUGGGUUAAGUCCCGCAACGAGCGCAACCCUUGUCCCUAGUUGCUACGCAAGAGCACUCCAGGGAGACUGCCGGUGACAAACCGGAGGAAGGUGGGGAUGACGUCAAGUCCUCAUGGCCCUUAUGGGUAGGGCUUCACACGUCAUACAAUGGUCGGAACAGAGGGUUGCCAAGCCGCGAGGUGGAGCCAAUCCCAGAAAACCGAUCGUAGUCCGGAUCGCAGUCUGCAACUCGACUGCGUGAAGCUGGAAUCGCUAGUAAUCGCGGAUCAGCAUGCCGCGGUGAAAUACGUUCCC